rnacentral:lncRNA from 1 species
CGGAGGCGGGGGUCAGGGCGGGGACCCGGACCCCAGCCCCAUCGGGGACAGAGUCCAAAAAUAGCUCGCGUCCUUGGUGUUCGCCUUGUCGCAGGAGCCUCGCCAUCGCGCAAUCUGCACUCGCCCCUCUGCAGAUCUAAGGCCAGACCUGGGCCACCCUAACUUCUCGGUAUCUCCUAUUUCUACAAACCGGCCGGGUAGAGGAUGCAGCCGGGCGUGGUGGCUACAAGAAAGUGCCCUGGUGUUAAGAACUCAGCCUCUGAAACCUGCCGCCCAGCUUCGAGUCAGCGACGUACUUUUGUUGUCCCGGCCUUAGUAUCCCCGCUGCAAUAAGAGUGUAAGCUCCUAAAGGCAGAAAUCAAGCUGACCUAAGCAAAGACCUGAAGGGGCUAUGAGGACAUCUGGCAGAAGAGGUAAUGCUACGGGCGAGAGGCUGGCCAGCGGCUAUAAACAAGUUAAGGGACUCCUCUGAGCCUCAGCAUCCCAUCCCUGGAAUGGAGAGAAGGACGUCUGCCCUGCUUAUCUCAAAAGGACAUCGAUGAGAUCAUAGAAGCCCAAGCUGAGGUUACAUCUGAUGCUAAAAACUAGACGAGAAAGGGUCUGUCUGACCCUCAAGGUCAGCAAUGUGUGUGCAACUCCCCUCUCGGGGUCUGGGGACGCAGCCAUGUGUUCCAUCAAACACCAGGCUUUGGGGAUAUUGUAGGGCUCAGCAAGACCGCCGACUGCUAGUUUAUUAAAAGAGCAGCUGCCAUCCCGCCGCGCAGUGGGACAGAGAGCUGCAGCCCGGCGCAGGCUCGACCCCGCAGGGAACCGCGACCCGGGGAUAGGCAGCUCUGGGCUGCACUGAUCUGGGACUCUGUCGGCUUUACAGACACACACACACACGCGCACGCGCGCACACACA